rnacentral:tRNA from 1 species
GCCACGGUAGCUCAGACGGUAGAGCGCUGGUCUGAAGAACCGGAGGUCGCUAGCUCGAAACUAGCCCGUGGCACCA